AAUCACCAAAAAAAAAUAGCC
rnacentral:miRNA from 1 species